UACGUAGGGGCCGAGCGUUGUCCGGAGUUACUGGGCGUAAAGCGCGCGCAGGCGGCUCGCUUUGCCCGGCGUGAAAGCCCCCGGCUCAACCGGGGAGGGUCGUCGGGGACGGGCGAGCUUGAGGACGGCAGGGGCAGGUGGAAUUCCCGGUGUAGUGGUGAAAUGCGUAGAGAUCGGGAGGAACACCCGUGGCGAAGGCGGCCUGCUGGGCCGGACCUGACGCUGAGGCGCGAAGGCGUGGGGAGCGAACGGG
rnacentral:rRNA from 1 species